GACGAACGCUGGCGGCGUGCCUAAUACAUGCAAGUUGAGCGCUGAAGGUUGGUACUUGUACCAACUGGAUGAGCAGCGAACGGGUGAGUAACGCGUGGGUAAUCUGCCUUUGAGCGGGGGACAACAUUUGGAAACGAAUGCUAAUACCGCAUAAAAACUUUAAACACAAGUUUUAAGUUUGAAAGAUGCAAUUGCAUCACUCAAAGAUGAUCCCGCGUUGUAUUAGCUAGUUGGUGAGGUAAAGGCUCACCAAGGCGAUGAUACAUAGCCGACCUGAGAGGGUGAUCGGCCACAUUGGGACCGAGACCCGGCCCAAACUCCUACGGGAGGCAGCAGUAGGGAAUCUUCGGCAAUGGACGAAAGUCUGACCGAGCAACGCCGCGUGAGUGAAGAAGGUUUUCGGAUCGUAAAACUCUGUUGGUAGAGAAGAACGUUGGUGAGAGUGGAAAGCUCAUCAAGUGACGGUAACUACCCAGAAAGGGACGGCUAACUACGUG
rnacentral:rRNA from 1 species